rnacentral:rRNA from 1 species
AUGUCCUCUCGCACCACGGCGCCCUCCCAUCCAACUAGAUCCGGCGCUCGCGGCCACCAAAGCCCACCUGCAACCCUCCCCCAUGGCUCCGGCGCCGGUGGCCAUGUCGUCCUCGUCUCAUCCGAUGUGCAGGGAGGAACGGCCACUGGACAGACUUGCUGCCGCUCGGGACGAAGCAACCAUGUAGCUUUCUCCUCCUCCUCUGGCUUCAGAACUCGAAGGAGAAAUCAGAAUUGUCGUCAAAGUAACAACUAUGAAAGUUGCACGCAUCAACUGGAUGCAGGGGGCGCUAUAGAGCAAGUUGAGUUCGUGGAGCAAGUCAUGGACGAUGCCAUGGAAGCUAUACUCUCUCACUCUUCCUACCGUUCUACUACAAUGUUCUUGGUAAUGCAAAAACAACAAAGAUUGCAUGGCCUUUAA